CUUGUUUCAGCUUUGCAUCUAUGCCCAAAGACUUGGCUACAUACUAAAGAAAUCGAAAAUUUCACAAGUGUUUUGCAUGACUGUCAAACUUAGGUUGAGUAUCCAUGGGGAAAGCCUAAGUAUAGCUGUCCCGUUGAGUAUCGGUAAUAAGACAUAGUUUUGCUGUAUCCAGACAUCAAUGGAUAGCAACAGUGUUUGCGUCUUGGCUGCUUUGCCUUCCAAGGAGAUGAUCAAGUUGCAGCACAAGUUUCAGCAAUGCUAUUGCUUUAUCUUACUACUUCACGAUUAUAAAACACAUAUAAUAUUUGAUAAUACGGUUGAAAUGUGAAAUUCACUUCACUUUGCUAUUUCUGCUACUUUUCUAACAAUUAAACUGUUCUAAUAAAAGGACAUAAGAUACUGUACAAACCCUAAUAUCCAAAGUGAUUGGAAAUGGAAAUAAGUAAAGUAGAUUUAUAGACUUUUACCUGAACAAAACAUCUCAGGUUGCUUCUUAACCAUUUAUCAUUCCCUCAACUAAAACAGUUUCCGAUGUUAUUGCAUCAUACAUUUGUAUCCACAAGAAGCAAAAAAAAAAA